rnacentral:misc_RNA from 1 species
UACGGGCGGAGCAAGCGUUGAUCGGAUUUAUUGGGCGUAAAGAGCUCGUAGGCGGCUUGGUAAGUCGGACGUGAAAUCUCCUGGCUCAACUGGGAGGGGCCGUUCGAUACUGCCAUGGCUAGAGUCCGGUAGAGGCGUGUGGAAUUCCCGGUGUAGCGGUGAAAUGCGCAGAUAUCGGGAGGAACACCUACAGCGAAGGCAGCACUCUGGGCCGGCACUGACGCUGAGGAGCGAAAGCGUGGGGAGCAAACAGG